CGACCCCUCAAGCUCCGCUUGGUGUUGGGCCCCUACGUGCGCCGUAGGCCCCGAAUUCCAGUGGCGGGCUCGCCGCGAUCCCGAGCGCAGUAGCGUUGCCUCGCUCAGGGCGCGCGGCGGGCGCCGGCCGUGAAACGACCCACUGUACCAUA
rnacentral:misc_RNA from 1 species